UUGACCUCGGAUCAGGUAGGGAUACCCCGCUGAACCUUCAAAGCAUCUCCAUAUUUCAUACGGAAGAAAGGAUCCUUUCCUCGAAAAAUAGGGGGCCCCCCGGGGCCCCGAAAUCCCCCCACCCUUUUGUCU
rnacentral:rRNA from 1 species